UAACCUGCCCAAGAGAUCGGGAUAACACCUGGAAACAGAUGCUAAUACCGGAUAACAACAGAUGAUGCCUAUCAACUGUUUAAAAGAUGGUUCUGCUAUCACUAUUGGAUGGACCUGCGGUGCAUUAGCUAGUUGGUAGGGUAACGGCCUACCAAGGCGAUGAUGCAUAGCCGAGUUGAGAGACUGAUCGGCCACAUUGGGACUGAGACACGGCCCAAACUCCUACGGGAGGCAGCAGCG
rnacentral:rRNA from 1 species